AACGAACGCUGGCGGCAUGCCUAACACAUGCAAGUCGAACGAGACCUUCGGGUCUAGUGGCGCACGGGUGCGUAACGCGUGGGAACCUGCCCUUAGGUUCGGAAUAACUCCCCGAAAGGGGUGCUAAUACCGGAUAAUGUCUUCGGACCAAAGAUUUAUCGCCUUUGGGUGGGCCCGCGUUGGAUUAGCCAGUUGGUAGGGUAAAAGCCUACCAAGGCGACGAUCCAUAGCUGGUCUGAGAGGAUGAUCAGCCACACUGGGACUGAGACACGGCCCAGACUCCUACGGGAGGCAGCAGUGGGGAAUAUUGGACAAUGGGCGAAAGCCUGAUCCGGCAAUGCCGCGUGAGUGAUGAAGGCCUUAGGGUUGUAAAGCUCUUUUACCCGGGAUGAUAAUGACAGUACCGGGAGAAUAAGCGCCGGCUAACUCCGUG
rnacentral:rRNA from 1 species